rnacentral:tRNA from 1 species
GUUUGGCUAGCUCAGUUGGUAGUGCAUGAGACUCUUCAUGUCAGGGUCAUGGGUUUAAGCCCCAUGCUGGAUA